rfam:Homo sapiens chromosome 3, GRCh38 reference primary assembly.
GCUAGGUGGGGUGGUGCGCACGCCUGUAGUACCAGCUACUUGGGAGGCUGUGGCAGGAAGAUCACUUAAGUCCAGGAGUUCUGGGAUGUAGUGCACUACGUGGAUUAGGUGUCCAUCCACACUAGGUUCAGCAUCAAUAUGGUUAAUUCCUGGGAGCAGGGGUCCACCAGGUUGCCUAAGGAGGGGUGAACCAGCCCAGGUCAGAAAUGGAGCAGGUCAAAACUCCCGUGCUGAUCAGUAGUGGGGUCGCACCUGUGAAUAGCCACUGCACUCCAGCCUGGGCAACAUAGCGAGAACCUGUCUCUA